UACGUAGGGGGCAAGCGUUAUCCGGAUUUACUGGGUGUAAAGGAAGCGUAGACGGCUGCGCAAGCCAGAUGUGAAAGCCCGGGGCUCAACCCCGGGACUGCAUUUGGAACUGCGUGGCUUGAGUGUCGGAGAGGCAGGCGGAAUUCCUAGUGUAGCGGUGAAAUGCGUAGAUAUUAGGAGGAACACCAGUGGCGAAGGCGGCCUGCUGGACGAUGACUGACGUUGAGGCUCGAAAGCGUGGGGAGCAAACAGG
rnacentral:rRNA from 1 species